CCUGCAGGGGUGGAGACUGGCUGUGUUCGGAUGCCGGGGGGGAGAGGUGCAAUCCUCUCCUCGAGGCUGGUGGUUGCGACCACCCCCACUCCCCAAAGGCAGGCUCCAGAGGCGGCGGGACAGAGCUCCUGCGACCCCAGUCGGUGCUCCGGGGAGCUCACCUGCCGAGGAGGUAUGUGAGGAACAGCGCUGUGAGGAGGAAGUCUUCCCCCUGGCCAUGAACUACCUGGAUCGCUACUUGUCCUGCGUCCCCACCCGAAAGGCGCAGUUGCAGCUCCUGGGUGCGGUCUGCAUGCUGCUGGCCUCCAAGCUGCGCGAGACCACGCCCCUGACCAUCGAAAAACUGUGCAUCUACACCGACCACGCUGUCUCUCCCCGCCAGUUGCGGGACUGGGAGGUGCUGGUCCUAGGGAAGCUCAAGUGGGACCUGGCUGCUGUGAUUGCACAUGAUUUCCUGGCCCUCAUUCUGCACCGGCUCUCUCUGCCCCGUGACCGACAGGCCUUGGUCAAAAAGCACGCCCAGACCUUUUUGGCCCUCUGUGCUACAGGUAAGAGCCCUGUGCACAUUUUUGCCAAAUUGGAAAAAUCCGAAGACUUAUAAGGGUGAGAGGUAACUAGAAGAUUCUGGUUUAUACUGUCAAAAUUCCUUUGUGAAAAUUACACCCCCUCUGAGCCCCCAGUCUCAAUGCAGAAAAGCAGGUUAUAAUCAGCUCUAUGGGAUCUCAGACCCCUCCAGUUUGUAGCGGGGACACUAAGGGUAUAGAGAGAAGUGACUUGCUCAAGGUCUCACAGUGAACAGGUUGGGAACAGAACCCCAGUCUCUUGGCCCUAGUUGUGUUCCCACACUAGGGAGUGUCUUGUCUAUUCCCGGGACCUAUGGAAACUGGCAGUUGGUCCUGAUCUCUAGGAAAGAUACUCUUUCCUGUCUU
rnacentral:sRNA from 1 species